rnacentral:tRNA from 1 species
GGUGAGGUCGCAUAGCGGACUAGUGCGGCGGUCUUGAAAACCGCUGUGGUGAGCAAUCAUCACCGUGGGUUCGAAUCCCACCCUCACCG